GACGAACGCUGGCGGCGUGCUUAACACAUGCAAGUCGAACGGAAAGGCCCUGCUUUUGUGGGGUGCUCGAGUGGCGAACGGGUGAAUAACACGUGAGUAACCUGCCCUUGACUUUGGGAUAACUUCAGGAAACUGGUGCUAAUACCGGAUAGGAGCUCCUGCUGCAUGGUGGGGGUUGGAAAGUUUCGGCGGUUGGGGAUGGACUCGCGGCUUAUCAGCUUGUUGGUGGGGUAGUGGCUUACCAAGGCUUUGACGGGUAGCCGGCCUGAGAGGGUGACCGGCCACAUUGGGACUGAGAUACGGACCAGACUCCUACGGGAGGCAGCAGUGGGGAAUAUUGCACAAUGGGCGGAAGCCUGAUGAAGCAACGCCGCGUGCGGGAUGACGGCCUUCGGGUUGUAAACCGCUUUCGCCUGUGACGAAGCGUGAGUGACGGUAAUGGGUAAAGAAGCACCGGCUAACUACGUG
rnacentral:rRNA from 1 species